UACAAAAUAAAAUCAUGUACAUGACAUUUACAUCCCAGCUGUACAGGAAAUAUCUAUGCGAAUGGCAUGUGAGUGUAGAAAAUAAAUCCAGAAACACAGAAACAUCUGCAUGAACACAUCAUUGUAUCGUUUCCAAAUGUUACUGUUACAGGUCUGAUCUCUGAAAUCUAAAAUCACAAGAAAUCUCAACGUCUCCCGAACAUCAACUUGCUAUCAUUUAUGACUGUUUCAAGCUAACGUUCUGUUCAGGAAGCAAUCGCCUGUUAGCGAUUAAGCAGGAGAACCAGGAGAGGAACCUGCAGAGGAACUCUUACCAACUUUUCCUAUUUACAGAAUACUUUAGUAUCAAAAUAUCUCACCCUUUAGCAUCAAACUAAAUUGCUUGAAUUAGCAUGCUAGUCAUAUUUGUAGGUAACUAACAGUAGAAAAACUAAAUGAGGCUGGAUCAUGAUGUUAAUGGUGGACACUUCUCUCUGUUGUGAGCUUCAUUAUGUGUUUGGUUUGUUCAGUUUGGCCUGAACCUCUAAACCCAACUCUAGAUCCAGGUCUGAACUGGUGGAACCAGAGAAUGGUUCUGUGAAUUAUAGUUGAUUUUCUGGAUCUAGAGCAUGUGUUAAGUAUGGAUUAGCAAGCCACAUCCACAAGCCAAGCAUGUAAAGAGCCCAUGAAACAGACAAACACUUCACACUCGAGCUCGCUGACGUCUUCACACCAAACUGAAGAAACCAAACACAGACGUCCUCUGCACAUUUUGCAACAUGUGGCAUCACGAAACGACUUAGUAAGAGAAAAGCUUUAAAACUGUAUUCAGGAUGGGAGAAUCGUCACCUUCAGAGCAUCAGGUCAAUUAAAAAAAACAUUAGAACACAGAAGCAGAAACUCAAUGUUGAUGUCAUGUAGCAGGCACAUCUCCCUCACAUGCUCUCUGGACAUGUUCAAGGUCAGAGCUGGAAGUUUCAAGGUCAGAGCUGUUCAUCAUGCU